rnacentral:rRNA from 1 species
GGUGAACGCUAGCGGCAGGCCUAACACAUGCAAGUCGAGGGAGAAGACCUUUCGGGGGCAGAAACCGGCGCACGGGUGCGUAACGCGUAUGCAACCUACCUUUCACAGGGGGAUAGCCCGAAGAAAUUGGGAUAAUACCCCAAAAAAUUAAUGGAAUGCAUCAUUUGAUAAUUCAAAAUGGGGGGGUGGAAGAUGGGCAUGCGUUCUAUUUGCCCGUUGGGGUGGUUACGGCAGCCCAAGGCUACGAUUGGUAAGGGUACUGAGGGGGAGCUCCCCCGCACUGGUACUGAGGCAGGGACCAGACUGCUACGCGAGGCAGCAGUGAGGAAUAUUGUGCAAUGGUCGGAAGACUGAACCAGCCGUGCCGCGUGCAGGAAUAAUGCCUUAUGAGUUGUAAACUGCUUUUAUAUGGGAAGAAUAAGGCGUACGUGUACGUUGAUGACGGUACCAUAUGAAUAAGCAUCGGCUAACUCCGUG